CCCUUAGAUGUUCUGGGCUGCACGCGCGCUACACUGACACGUUCAACGAGUUGUUGCCUGGGCCGAGAGGUCUGGGAAAUCUUUUGAAAGGUAGUCGUGAUGGGGAUAGAUCCUUGCAAUUUUUGAUCUUCAACGAGGAAUUCCUAGUAAACGCAAGUCAUCAGCUUGCAUUGAUUACGUCCCUGCCCUUUGUACACACCGCCCGUCGCACCUACCGAUUGAAUGGUCCGGUGAAUCUUUAGGACUGUGGCUGAGGCCUUGCCUUGUGCGGGUCUGGCCGUGGGAAUUUAGUUAAACCUUACCAUUUAGAGGAAGGUGAAGUCGUAACA
rnacentral:rRNA from 1 species